AUGGGAGGGGACAACCUGACCUGUCCCUUUGCCCUGUUUGAUAGAGGAGUCCCCAAAAAGAUCAGAGGAAUCCUUGAAGGCCCAGGUGCCAUGGACAAGACAGGGAUACAGAGCUCCAACAGGCCAGGGAUGGGAUGUUCCUGCAGCACCAGGAACCUGCGGAAGCAGAGGAGGAGCAGGAAAUGCACGGGCACCACACGGAGCCACAGCUCCCCCCAAAGCUGCCCCCAGCCCCCCUCACCUUCCCUGGGAUGUGGCCAUGGAGAACAGGCAGAUCCCCAGCUCGGAGCAUCCUGGAUAAGGGGGAGAGGUGGGAGCAGAGGGAGAGGAGGCCCUGCUCAGGAGCUUGGAAUCUUUGGCUUUUGGGAGCUCCGGGAGCUGCUGCUCAGGUUUGGUCCUUUUGGGCUUGGCUCAGGCACCCCCAGAGCAGAGCAUCCCCAGGGUGCUGAUCCCACAGGGACAUUCCCAUGGCUGUCCUGGUGGUGGCUGAUCCCACAGGGACAUUCCCAUGGCUGGUGGCUGAUCCCACAUGGACAUUCCCAUGGCUGGGUGCUGAUCCCACGGGAACAUUCCCCAUGGCUGGUGGCUGAUCCCACAGGAACAUUCCCAUGGCUGUCCCGGCGGCGGUGGCAGGAGAGGAGCCCGUUGUUCCCGGGGUGGGUGGCGAGGGGCAGGGCUGCGCUGUCGGGUGGGACUUGGGGGGGUUUCUCUCGUGGCUUUAGUAGAGCUGGAGCUGCAGCUUCAUCCUCAGUGCCUGGCCCAGCUCCCCCGCCAAGUAGUCGAGGUGGUUGUUGGCCUCGAGUUUGUGCAGUUCCCGCCGGCGGGGCAGGGCCACGCUGACGAUCUCCAGCAGGUAGGUGCCCGGCAGGAUUUUCUUGCGGCCCAGGUGCAGGAAGCUGAGCCCUUCCUUGUGGUGGAUGCGGAACAGCCCCUCCUCGUUGCCCUGGGAGAUGGUGUAGCGCACGCGGUUCUCCAGCGGCUCCACGGCCGGCAGCAGCUCCAGGAUGUGCUCCUUGUGGGCCAGCUCCGACAGGUUCAGGGUCAUGGACAGCGGCGCGUCCACGUCCAUGCUGGCCAAGUUCACAGCGUGCUCCUGACAAGGAUUUAGGGAGGGCAGGGAAAGCUCAGAGGCAGGGGAAGGUGGGCUUGGUUUAGGGAAAUUCAGCCCCAAAUCAACGCUGAGAAGCGACAGCUUUGGGUUUCUUGGUGUGCUGGUGGCACUGAACUCCCAGCACACAGCCCCCAUCCCUGGGAAAGAUCCAUAACUUCAGGACCAUUCUCCUUCCAAGCCCUAAAAUCACCUCUUCUGCCCAGGGCUGUGAAAUUCCCAGGAGAGUUUUGGACAGAGGUCAGAACUCCCUCUGAAGGAGCAGCACCAUGGAAUGGUUUGGGUUGAAAGGGACCUUAAAAAGUCUUGUUCCAGCCCCUCGGGACACCUCCCACUAACCCAGGUCACCCCAAGCCCUGUCCAGCCUGGCCUUGGACACUUCCAGGGAUGGGAAACGUGGGUUUUAUUCCUUGGUUUCACAAGAAGGGUUUGGGGAUGCCAAACCUGGGCAGAUAUGGAUGAGCUGCUGGCUCUGCCUGGACUGAGGGAAUGGGAUCCCCUCCAGGCCUCUAUUCCUGAAGAUCCAGCCUCGCCCCAUCCCCUGCAGGAUGCCCUGGGUUUCUCACCUGGUGCCUCUCUGUGCCGUUGACGCUGCGCCGCUGCCGGCCCCUCUUGGGGUACCCGUUGAUCUUGCACUCGUAGCAGGUCUCGGGGGACAGCAGGUUGUCCUCAUCCUCCUCCUGGGGCGCAGGCAGGUAGGGACCCUUCCCAAAUCCCAAGCCAGAAAUGCAG
ensembl:lncRNA